rnacentral:rRNA from 1 species
GUAGGGUGCAAGCGUUGUCCGGAAUUAUUGGGCGUAAAGAGCUCGUAGGCGGUCUGUCGCGUCGGCUGUGAAAACCCGGGGCUCAACCCCGGGCCUGCAGUCGAUACGGGCAGACUAGAGUGUGGUAGGGGAGACUGGAAUUCCUGGUGUAGCGGUGAAAUGCGCAGAUAUCAGGAGGAACACCGGUGGCGAAGGCGGGUCUCUGGGCCAUAACUGACGCUGAGGAGCGAAAGCGUGGGGAGCGAACAGGAUUAGAUACCCUGGUAGUCCACGCCGUAAACGUUGGGCGCUAGGUGUCGGGGACCUUCCACGUCUUCGGUGCCGCAGCUAACGCAUUAAGCGCCCCGCCUGGGGAGUACGGCCGCAAGGCUA